rnacentral:rRNA from 1 species
CAGUAGCCGCGGGAAUACAGAGGGUGCGAGCGUUAAUCGGAUUUACUGGGCGUAAAGCGUGCGUAGGCGGCUUUUUAAGUCGGAUGUGAAAUCCCUGAGCUUAACUUAGGAAUUGCAUUCGAUACUGGGAAGCUAGAGUAUGGGAGAGGAUGGUAGAAUUCCAGGUGUAGCGGUGAAAUGCGUAGAGAUCUGGAGGAAUACCGAUGGCGAAGGCAGUCAUCUGGCCUAAUACUGACGCUGAGGUACGAAAGCAUGGGGAGCAAACAGGAUUAGAUACCCCUGUAGUCCCUGUCUCUUAUAC